AUUUAUCUUGUGAUCAGCAGCAGCUGAUUAGAACCGCAGCACAAUUUGUGGGAUGUUAUGGUCUGAGCAAUUCAAUCGGCUGAAUACAGGCGAGACAGCUGUCCCAGGCUUCUACUAUGUCUCUGGUGAUGGGCUGUUCCUGGCUGGCAUCAUUUGACCUGGUGCACAGCUGAGCUUUAAAGAGUGGUAGUGGUGGAAUGAAUCUCAGCAAUGGUUCAGUUGCAUAAAAGCCAAGAGCUUUCUGGACCUCAGCAAAGUGACCAUUCUUCAUGUGAGAGUUAGAUCAAUGAAUGUGGACGUUGAAACCCAGCUCAUCUCAUGACCAGUGUCCCUGGCCUGCUAUUCUCUCCUUUGGUCUGACGACAGCAAUUUUAACGAUUAUUCUUGAACUUUUAAAUUCACUUGUUAGAGACUCACUUCCUUUAUCAUUUAACUGUCCUCAAUGUUGUUUUAAUUAUUACUGGUGUUAUUCCCUAGAGUAGGUAUUUACAAUUUUGUUAUCAAUAAUGUUUAGCACACAUA